UUUGUCUCCGCCACCGUCACGCCCGCAGCCCCCCCCCAGCAACCCCGCAAAAGGCGGAGCCGUCCCCGUUCCCCGCCCGUUAGGGCCGGGCAACGGCCGCCUGACGGAGGAGCCAUGGCGGGGGCCGCCUGACGGGAGGCCUCGGCCGGGGAGAGGAGGAGGAGGCGGCCGGUGGGGUGGGGGGGUGGGGGGCUCGCGGGUGACGGGACUCGCGGCGACCCCACCGGGGACAAAAAAUUGAGGGGAAAAAUCAACGGAAACGGGGCCAGCGGCGGCUUCAAGGCCGGCACGGAGCGGGAGGAGCCGCCCCCAAAGCGGGCCCGGGGACCGGCGGCUUCUCCUUAGGGUGACGCCGCGCCUGGGUUUGCCUGCCGGGGGGCUGCUGAAAGCUCGGGGAGGCGUUAAGGAGAAGCAGCUGGAUGUCUCCACGCUUCUUAAAAUAUCUUAAUAGGGAGGGUAUGUAAGCUCGCAAACGGUCUUGUCGCGUUCCUGCGCCUGCGGUUCGUCUGAGCUGAAGCGGCAGAGCGAAGCUGCGCUGCCUUCCUUGUGUCCUACCUCUCGAAAUCGCAGGCACCAAGAAUGCUGAAGGCCUGAAUUGUACUGCUGAAUGCUUGGAAAAAAAUGCCGAAUGCUUCGGAAAUGGACUCUGAAACGGGACGGCUGCAGCUGUGUCUUGGAUACUAGGAAUCCGGGCAAUCCAAAGGUCCCAAACUGGAAGGAAUUCAGCCUGCAGAAACUGAGCUGGCGCAAACUGCAUUGGAGCAAGACACUGAAAAGUUAGAUCUAAUUACUAAGCUUCAAAGGAACUUUGUGGCAGUAUCAUCAUCUUAUGUUUGGGGAAGAACAACAUUCCUUUCCUGACAACAGAGAGUUUAACAGCUUCAAGAGAGUACGGUGUCAGUCUGCAACAGCGCAGUUGGAUACCUUACUUGAUGCUGCUAUGGAAUCCCAGGACUGGGUUGGAUGCCAGUCCUUCACAUCUGGCCCAUGGGAGAAGACCAGCACAUUGCAGUUCCAUUUUAUUUCGUCAGUCCUCGGCAGGAAAUUACUCUUUUCCAUCCCACCAAUUGGUGGUGUUGACUUCCAAGUCAUUUUCAUUUUCUCCAACAAAAAAGAAAUAAAAAAUUCAUUUUUACUUUUUCUGUAGCUGCUCUGAAGUAGAUUUCAGAUAUGUUUCUGUUUUCUGCUCUUUGGCUUCUCUUGCUGAAGUCUAUAAAGGAUUAUAUUGUUGUUCAUUAGCCCACUGAGCUGCCAGACAUCCAAGGAAGAAUGAAAUUACCUUUGGCAAAACAACACUGGAUAGCACCGCAGCUCUGAUUCGGCCACAACAUAGCUAUUCUUUGAUGGGCAGCCUUUCUGACGGUGAAUGGAGAGGUGAUGUGCUCUUUUUGUGUGUGUGCCACUGCUGCAAACUGCUCAGUUCCUUUGCUUGUGAAAUGGAAGUCUUCCCAUUGCAAAUUCACUUACAUCCUUUUCUGGGCAUGACUUUUAUCUCAGGAACUGUCUCUCCAAACUUUCAGGAGUUCUAGGUCUCUCUAUUACAUGGUUUUGUCAAACAGCUUUUCUUUUUUUUUCCAUCUGCCAUCAGCACCAUUUUCUUGAGAUCCUGUUCAGCACAUGGGUGUGUAUGCAGACAUCUUACCCCAGUAGGCAGAACAAAUCUGGCAUCUUCCAUCACUUCCUUUUCCACAGAUGUGACAAAGUCAUCCACCCCCUCCCUUUUGAGGAGCUAUUCAGUUGCAGCAGAAAGCAACAGCUUGCUGUGAUGCACACAACUAGCCUGAUAAAUGACCUGUGGAAUGGUGGCUCCUCCAGCCAGUGCAGGCUGGGGCGUGAGGCAAACCGUCCUGCUCUUCUUUAACCUGUAUUUGAGUUUCUCACACAGAGUUGAAUGUGGACAUCUCAGUCUGUACAACUUUCCUACUCUGAAGUAAUCCCCGAAUCCCCUUGGGAAACUAGUCUUUUGAACCCACACUGGUCAAAAGUUGUGUUCCUGGGUUCAGUGAGAGUUCCCACGGAAUCCUGCAUAGUGUUUGUUCCUUACUCUGGUGCAGGAUUUGCAAAGCAUCUUCCUGUUAGCCUGGGUUGUAGCCAGAGGUACUUGGCUAUGUUCAACAACAGCUCUGUUGUGAGGCCCCUGUUCUGAAAAGUGGAGGUAACUGCUUGUAAUACCUGCACAGGCCUUGAAUCAACAGAUUUGUCUUCUCUAGGUUUUGAGAAACUUGACUUACAAGCCAGUACCCCAGGAGUGAGUUGCUGUAGUGGUGAGUACUAUGGCCUGCACCAGACAAGUGCCAUGAGGGCAACAAAGCAUCUUUCCCACACUUAUUUGAAGUUUCCAAAGCUAGUUAGUGGCUUUAUUCUGUGUGUAUGGACACAAAGAAACAUAAACUUUUGCACUAUAUAAAUGUGCUUUUCCCUGUUGGAGUAGUACCUGCAGUGAUGGUACUGGAAAAUAAACCUGGGAACCUCACCAGUGAUCCUCAGUGGCUUACCAGUGCUUCCUUUAUCUUUCCUUUCUCUGGAAAGAAAAAUCAGCAUCUAGCAUUGUCUCUGUGUGCAAAGUCCUCUGUAUACAUUGUGACAAAAGCUGCUGAAGUUCUCCACCAUGUUGUUUUUGCACUGAGUGUUCACUUUCAGUGUACUUAUCAAGAAGUUCAUCUGCAUUACAGGACACAAUAACCUAACUUGCAUGGAUCCCUUUUCUAUUGCCCUGGAUUUAUAGAAGGAAUUUCAAAGUAUCUUACUUUAAUGGGCUGUGAAACAUCUUGUGGACUCGCAGCUUUUUGUUCUUUUGUGUUGUGAGGCACGCUGGCUCUGCGCCAUGAUUCACCCUGGUUACCUUCUGUUACAGAUGGACAUUCUCCAUGCCAUGAAAUGUGCUGCUCUCAAAACAGGAUAAGAUAUUCUUCUUUAAAUGGAGCAUGAUUGUCUCAUUCAAAGAGAGGAGCAACAUUAUUCAAACCAUUCUGACUUUGCCUGGGCAUGAGUAAAAAUCUCAGGAUCAAUCUAAGACAAUGCAAGAAUGCAAGCCAUAAAGUCAGGAAUUUAGAUAAAAACAAGUGUCUUACCUAUAGUUUCUCUUAGCAAGGAGUUCUGCCUUAUGUGAUCUGGAGUGGACACACUUCUUGUAUUCAUAAUAACAUUCGUCCCAUCUCUCUGUUGUUCGAGUCAAGUAGCAGAACAAUUGGCUGACUAAUUCAAAGUAGACAUGGAGUGACACCUCUCUUCGUGGAAGACUCUGUUUCUCAUUUGUGGGGAGACAUAGCUCCUGGCUUUCUCCUUUCUGGAACAGUCAUUUAAUAAGCAGUUAGCGAGUCAGUCCUUAUAAGACACGCAGACGAAGAUGUUCAAAUGCAUCUACCUAAACGUGUAUGGGAGGUCCAACAUCCUUUUCCGUAGUGCCAAAUGUCAGCCUCGUGCUUGCCUGUCUCAUGGGGAAGUCACCCCAUGGAUUUAAAUUAAUUAUUUCAAUCUAGAUGCUAUUCUCAAUAAGACACUGGCUGUCAGAAGUGACUUUGUAAAUUAGUUUGCGGAAGAAUGGGAAGGGAAGGAAUAGAUGAGAACAAGGAGACAUCCUGAAGGAAGAACCAGGAAAUUGUCAGCAGAAUGUCUGGAUGUUGAGGAUCCUUCUGCACCAGUCAGGAUUCUCCAAUCCUCAGUCUAUCUUUCCCUAACGAACUAAGCAAAGGAAGGAAUUAACAGAUGAGAAAAAAAAAAAUUACAAAAUGUCAGUAUACCACCUCUUCACCACCUUGGGCUUAAAACAGGAAAAAUUCUGUGCCUUUUUGAGAAUGAUGUACAGAAGAGCCCACGAAAAGCUAGUAGAUGUGGAACAGCACUGGAGUCUUAAAAGAAUUUAGCUGACAAACUUGGAAGGGUUAUGAAUGGCAUGCACUGAUCAGAGAUUUACAGUUUGGCCAAGUUGCAUGGUUUCCCCCAGGAAUGAUGAGAAGGGUCCAAGCCUGAAGGCUUCUUUCCUUCUAAGCUGAUUGCAUGACAUUUUAGUGGCCUCUAUCACGAUGGGGGAAGGCUUGAGGGCUUCUUAACAACAUGACUAAUGAGCAGAAUUUGUUUUGUUCAUGAAUAGUUUUUCCUAUCUCAUUAUUUGAAAAGUGUGGACUGUGUUAUCUGUUCAGUGUUUUCUUAAACCAGCCCCAUGGACAUGUCUAACACGAGCAGCUCAAAUUAUUUCAGUCUGGCACACUUGCAAGCAACUGAAAACAUGAUCUUGUCGUGAUCACAAAUCUACUAGUGAUUUUGUACCUUAGGGAAAUCUCAGGUGUAGUUGCCUCUUAGUAUCAUCCAAGGAGAUGGGGCUGUGAUACAAAUGAAAAGCUGAACAGCCAGAUGAUCACAUCUGGAAGAUAACACAACAGGGAAAUUCUAGUGAUGGAGGAAGGCUCCAUAGGCUCUUCCUAUAAAAACAUCUCUCAGUGACUGUCAAUAGAGAACUGCUCCUCUGUCCUAUGAAUCUUACCGUGUGUUAGAUGUCUUUUAUCAUCUCCGAAGGCAUUCAUCUACCUUAAUUUUAGAUGCAGGCAGAUACAGUACCCCGGAACACUAAAAUGCCUUUCUGCAUCAUGUGAAGUUGACGUCAAAGAGCUCAUCUGCUUUGGUGGUGGAGGAUGAGAGGAGCUACACAGAUGCAAAGCAUCUUGUCUGCUGUACAGCUGCACGAUGUGACUGCAGGAAGCCGAUCGAUGUGACAACUACAAGCACAUUGCCAAGAGAUGGUACACGGAGCAAAAGCACCAUAGCAGCUCAGGAAGGGUUGCACCAGCAUCGUGUGAUCAUCUCAUGUGACGACUUGACCGGUCCUCAGUAGUCCUGUAACCCCAUCAGUGUCUAAUCUGGAGGCUGUGUGGAGAUGUUGCCAUGCUUGUUCAGUACAUCCUGAGCUCUUGUUCUUCUUGGAGUCUGUCUUUAAUCUGAGCUAAUGAUUGAGGUAGUACAUGUUCGGAAAGUUAACUCAGAUGCUGCAGCAGCCGUGUCAGCAGUUGAACGUUAAUGACGUUAAGGGUGACGUUGUGGGCAGGCAGACAGCCCUGGGCUGAGAUUAACUGGAGGAACAGCAGUGAAAGAAACCGCCAGGUGCUGCAGAAAGUGGAGAGGCUCACGUGGGGCCAGUCCUGACCUGGAGCUAAGCUGCUGGAGGGAGCAACAACCAGAAAGAAGUGUGAGAGGUGGUGUCAGACCUCCCCUGGGUGGAGAGUGAGGGUGGGUGCUGGCUUAGGGAUCACUCAGCAAAGCUAUUACUAAUUAAGGGCUAGGGAGAUUGGGUAAAAGGGAAAGAGGCCUUUUCUCCCUCUCUCCCCACAUUCAUGACCAUUGGAGCUGUGGUCAGUGGUGCUGCCGUAGGUCCCCAAGGCUGCCCAGGGCUCCUAUCUGCACUGGAGCAGAGUCAGUGGUGCAGCCAGGAGCCAGGAGAAGCUAUGGUCGGAUACAGGCAGCCACCUUCUUGUGGUGUCGAUGUGCAGGCUUCACUACACAACUGAUAGGGCUGAGCAGAUCCCCAUUGCUUGUCUGCACAUGGACAAUGCAAUAGCCAAGCUUUGACGUUUAUGGAACUGUAUCUCUGCAGCACGUGCAGGUAUUUGGCUCAAAUCUGGAGGUACACCGUGCCAGGAGGAGCACCACCACUCCCAGAUGCAUGCCACCAGGCCUCUCAGCGCAUCUCAGUGCCACCAGCAGUCAUCCCAACUCCAAACCCUACAUGGAAAAGCUGCCUGAACAAUGGGGGAAAACGUCUGCAUCAGGAAUGACUCAGGACUUUGGUAUAUCGCAUCCUUAAAUAUUUAUUUCAGUGAUCUUAUAAAUGUUUUAUUUGGAGAAAAAUAUUGUAAUUGGCCAAUAUUCCACAAAAUAUAAACAUUUUGCUCUAAAACA